rnacentral:rRNA from 1 species
GAUGAACGCUGGCGGCGUGCCUAAUACAUGCAAGUCGAGCGAACAGAUGAGGAGCUUGCUCCUCUGACGUUAGCGGCGGACGGGUGAGUAACACGUGGAUAACCUACCUAUAAGACUGGGAUAACUUCGGGAAACCGGAGCUAAUACCGGAUAAUAUAUUGAACCGCAUGGUUCAAUAGUGCAACACGCCUUUCCCGCCACUUCUAGACGGCUCCGCGCCGCAUCAGCUAGUUGGUAGGGUACCGGCGUACCAAGGCGACGAUGCGUAGCCGGCCUGAGAGGGGGAUCGGCCACACUGGAACUGAGACACGGUCCAGACUCCUACGGGAGGCAGCAGUGGGGAAUGUUCGGCAAUGGGCGAAAGCCUGACGGAGCAACGCCGCGUGGGUGAUGAAGGUCUUCGGGUCGUAAAGCUCUGUUGUUGGGGAAGAACAGAUGUGGGAGUAGCUAUGCAGGUCUUGACGGUACCUAAUCAGAAAGCCACGGCUAACUACGUG